rnacentral:lncRNA from 1 species
AUGUUUGACUGUAUGGAGAGACCACAUUUGUUUAUCUCUCGGCGGGCACUUGGAUUGCAGCUAUUUUUCAGCUCCUAUGAACAAUGCUGUGCCGAGACCAGCUCAGCCUCAGAGACCGCAACUCAUGCGGCAGUGAAGGAAUUAAGAAACAGACACCGACAUAGCAAAAGGUUCAAGCAAUUCUCCUGCCUCAGCCUCCUGAGCAUCUGGGAAUUCAUCAGCCAAGCUGGUCUCAAACUCCUGACCUCAAGUGAUCCGCCCAUCUCGGCCUUUCAGAGUGCUGGGACUCCAGGCGUGAGCCAAUUCUCCAACCUUCCCAUGGAGUCACACCACCUCCUGUCUUGGCACUUCAUGAGUCCAGUGGUCUUUCCCAAGAGGAUCUGGUUGGCAGACCGUGACCUUGGUUCCUGCUUCUAUCCGUAG